rnacentral:rRNA from 1 species
AAGUCGAGCGGUAACGCGGGAGCAAUCCUGGCGACGAGCGGCGAACGGGUGAGCAAUGCUUCGGAAUCUGCCCUGUAGUGGGGAAUAACCAGCCGAAAGGUUGGCUAAUACCGCAUACGCCCCUUUUCUUCAUCGAAGAGUGGGAAAGCGGGGGACCGCAAGGCCUCGCGCUAUUGGAUGAGCCGAAGUCGGAUUAGCUAGUUGGUAGGGUAACGGCCUACCAAGGCGACGAUCCGUAGCUGGUCUGAGAGGACGACCAGCCACACUGGGACUGAGACACGGCCCAGACUCCUACGGGAGGCAGCAGUGGGGAAUAUUGGACAAUGGGCGAAAGCCUGAUCCAGCGACGCCGCGUGUGUGAAGAAGGCCUGCGGGUUGUAAAGCACUUUUAGUGGGGAUGAAAAGCUCGGAUCCAACACAUCCGGGUCUUGACCUAACCCACAGAAAAAGCACCGGCUAACUCUGUGCCAGCAGCCGCGGUAAUACAGAGGGUGCGAGCGUUAAUCGGAAUUACUGGGCGUAAAGCGUGCGUAGGCGGUCGUGUAAGUCGGGUGUGAAAGCCCCGGGCUCAACCUGGGAAUUGCAUUCGAGACUGCACGGCUGGAGUGCGGAAGAGGGAAGCGGAAUUUCCGGUGUAGCGGUGAAAUGCGUAGAUAUCGGA